rnacentral:rRNA from 1 species
ACCAGGAUUCCCCUAGUAACGGCGAGUGAACCGGGAAGAGCUCAAGCUGAAAAUCUUCGGAAUUGUAGUCUAUAGGUUUGAACUCGUGCAGCGCCGGGUAUAAAUCCUUUUGGAAUGAAGGUUUGCCAGAGAGGGUUAGAGCCCCGUCUUUGACUCGGGUAGCUGUGCGUGGCGAGUUUAUUCCUGAGAGUCGGUUUGCUUGGGAAUGCAGGCCAAAAUGGGUGGUAAACUUCAUCUAAAGCUAAAUAUUGGCGAGAGACCGAUAGCGAACAAGUACUGUGAAGGAAAGAUGGAAAGAACUUUGAAAAGAGAGUGAAAAAGGGCUUGAAAUUGUUAAGAGGACAAGUGAUUGGAGCAUAUCAUACGGGGGGUCAUUCCAAGUCCGGGGCUUGUCCUGGGAUGCACCAUGGUCUCCUGUUGGUCAGCAUCGAUUCUGUGUGGGGGAGAAAGCUGCAGUUGUUGCGGGCUUCGGCUCAAUCGAUUGUAGUGCAACCCCGGAUGGGAUCGAGGCAGGAAGCGCACGCUUGGCGGCCGGCCUUUUGUCCGUGUGAUGUAUGUCUGUUGACCCCAUUGGGGUGGGCGGAUGUAUGUUAUUCGAUGCAUGAGAGCGCUGGACCUGUGUGCUUAAGAUGCUGGCACAAAUGGCUUCAAUCAGCCCGUCUUGAAACACGGACCAAGGAGUCUAACACGUAUGCGAGUAGUAAGGUGGCAAACCUUGGAUGCGCAAUGAAAGUAAAUGUAGGUGGGAUCCGCAAGGUGCACCAUCGACCGACCAGGAACUUUUGUGAAAGGUUUGAGUAAGAGCAUAUUUGUUGGGACCCGAAAGAUGGUGAACUAUGCCUGAAUAGGGUGAAGCCAGAGGAAACUCUGGUGGAGGCUCGUAGCGGUACUGACGUGCAAAUCGUUCGUCAAAUUUGGGUAUAGGGGCGAAAGACUAAUCGAACCAUCUAGUAGCUGGUUCCCUCCGAAGUUUCCCUCAGGAUAGCUGGAGCUCAUACAAGUUUUAUCAGGUAAA